GCAGCCCGGCAGCCACUACACACGGACCCGUGACGUCGGGCGUAGCGCGGCGCACGUCACGGCCGCUCGCUCGUGCGCGCGCACCCCUCCGCCCGGCGGUAGCGGAACCCGCCGCGGGCGCGCGCCCGGCCCAGGGGAGUGGGUCGGCGCCUGCGCAGAGGCCCGCCACGCCCACACACAGGCCACCGCCCCCACCGGCCGGACGGCGCGGGGAUUCCCAGUCCUGGCUCCGCCCCGGCCUCGGCCCCGCCCCCGCCCCUGCCCCGGGGCAGCCUGUGCUGUUCCGUGUGCGCGGCGCAUACGCACCUGGGUUGUCUCGAGCCUGCGGUAGUGGCCAGAUCCCAGACAUCCGAGUAGAUCCCGUGAAAAGCUUCUUCUUGGUUUCUUCGUACAUUCUGGAUCCACCCCUUUCAUGCAUAUUCCAGACCACAUUUCCACUGGAGCAGUUGAAAUGAGAGAGAUGGGAAUGGGACUCACCCGAACCAGAGGAAUUUUUAUUACAGACCCAUUAACAGAGGUGUCAAAGUCACAGGAACAAGGAUGUGCACCUCAGAAACACAGAGAAAGACCUUAAAUGCUCUGGGGGAUACGGACUGAAGAGGUGUUGAGAGGUAACUGCAUACCUCUCACUUCUCAGGAACUGCCAGUUCCCUGGGCAGAAUCAGGACCUGGGACAGACCUGCCUGCUGAUGAGAUGGCCCCACACCAUCUGCAGGCCAGAUUUGGUGCUGUGGACAAUGUCGGAGGGGACAGUCUACAGGACAGCCAACGGCUUUCAAAAAUUCUGAUAUGAUCAACUGGUGACACUACUCAGAAGACUGUGUUAAGAAUUCCGAAUUGGGGCCGGGCAAGGUGGCUCAUGCCUGUAAUCCCAGCACUUUGGGAGGCCAAAGCAGGUGGAUUGCUUGAGCCUAGG
rnacentral:lncRNA from 1 species